GAAAAUGAUGGGAGAAAAAUAUAUCAAAUGAUUCCGACGUGGUGGCUCAGAUAGUUUUGAGUAUGGUGAAAAGUGAAAGCGUUGAAGAGUGAAAAUAGUUUUGGAAGUUUUUUUUUGAAUUAUUGAAGAGAAUUUCGUUUUCAAAAGGGGUGAAUGUUGAAGAGUGAAGAUGGAUUUGUGAAUCUUGGAAUGGUGUUUGUACAUGUUGGUCAUGGAAUGGCUUUGCUUGCUAGGGACAAUGGAUUUGUGAAUCUUGUAGCUGACUUGACUUAGGAUCGUGAUGGCUGAAGUUUUAUAGUUUUGUAAUUAUUGUAUUGUGAUGUUGUAAUGGGAAUUAAUGACAUGUUUUGUGGUUAUGUAAUUGAAAUUGAUGGUGUAUUAGAGUUUGGUAUUGAUCAUGGUUAUAAUUAGAAUAUUGUACUUGUGAGAUGAAUGGUAAAUUGGAAUUUGGUUGAAUGUAAUAGGUAUUUGGUUUAAUGGAAAUUGAAGGAUUGACCUAUGCUUUUGAAAUUGGAA